rnacentral:rRNA from 1 species
UACGUAGGGGGCAAGCGUUAUCCGGAUUUACUGGGUGUAAGGGGGGCGCAGACGGCGCGGCAAGUCCGGAGUGAAAUCCCAGGGCCCAACCCUGGGGCUGCUCUGGAAACUGCCGGGCUGGAGUGCUGGAGGGGCAGGCGGAAUUCCUAGUGUAGCGGUGAAAUGCGUAGAUAUUAGGAGGAACCCCGGUGGCGAAGGCGGCCUGCUGGACAGCGACUGACGUUGAGGCCCGAAAGCGUGGGGAGCAAACAGG